rnacentral:rRNA from 1 species
UAACGCGAAGAACCUUACCAGGGCUUGACAUAUACGUGGUAGCGAGUCGAAAGAUGAGCGACCCUUCGGGGAGCGUAUACAGGUGCUGCAUGGCUGUCGUCAGCUCGUGCCGUGAGGUGUUAGGUUAAGUCCUGUAACGAGCGCAACCCUCGUCGCUAGUUACAUGUGUCUAGCGAGACUGCCCGUGAUAAGCGGGAGGAAGGUGGGGAUGACGUCAAGUCAGCAUGGCCUUUAUGUCCUGGGCUACACACACGCUACAAUGGCCGGUACAAUGGGUAGCCAAGCCGCGAGGCGGAGCCAAUCCUCCAAAGCCGGUCUCAGUUCGGAUUGUAGGCUGCAACUCGCCUGCAUGAAGUCGGAGUGCUAGUAAACGCGCGUCAGCAACAGUGCGUUGAAUACGUUCCCGGGUCUUGUACACACCG